rnacentral:rRNA from 1 species
GUGCAAAGGUAGCAUAAUCAUUUGUUCCUUAAAUAGGGACUUGUAUGAAUGGCUUGACGAGGGUUUAACUGUCUCUUAUUCUUGAUCAGUGAAAUUGACCUUCCCGUGAAGAGGCGGGAAUAAACAAAUAAGACGAGAAGACCCUAUGGAGCUUAAAUUUUAUAGUCUAGCAUUCACUAAACUCUCUCUACGGAUUUAAGACUUAUGCCUACAGACUACAAAUUUUGGUUGGGGUGACCUCGGAGAAUAAACUAACCUCCGAAUGAUAUUAAUCUAGACCAUAACCCGUCUAAAUCUAAGUUCAUAAAUUGACCCAAAAAACAUUUGAUCAACGGAACAAGUUACCCUAGGGAUAACAGCGCAAUCCUACUCAAGAGUUCAUAUCGACAGUUAGGGUUUACGACCUCGAUGUUGGAUCAGGACAUCCAAAUGGU